ACAUUAAAAAGGAAGCCUUUUGGAGAAACAGUGUUGACCGGAAGUGCGCAGUGACGCAGAGGCUGGACUUCCGGCCAGUGGGGGCCGUUGCCCUCGGGUCUCCGUCCGGGGCGCCCUUUCCUUCUGCCCAGUGGCUUGGCGCGUCCGGGUCACAUCUGUGCUCUCGCAGAGCGGACCUCUGGGCCUCUUCUGCCCGCGACCCGAGCCCCGAUGGGGCCCUGGCCUGGGGUCUCCAGCCGCCUUCCCAGGGUCUGUCCCGGGCUUCUCCAGCGCCCACCGUGCCGCGAUCUUAUGUUGCCACAGCGACGGCUUCAUUUCUCUUUGCCUCUUUCAAGCAACCAUACCGCCAGGUCUCCCCCCCCGAGUCUGCUGCUUGUAGGGCCAGGUCCCGGGCUCCGAGCGGACUCUCGCCCCGUCCCAGCCUCCUCUUCCUGCCCGGGUUUCCCAGAGAGGGCUUCCGGCUCAUCUGUGACUUGCUUGCCGUGCAGCUGCCAGGCUGCAGCUCCAGGGCCUCAGGGGCGAAGGUACCAAGGAGUCCUGGGACCUUCGAGGGGUGGCGUGAUGAAAGCAGAAGCGCGUUGGGGCUGUGGCCUCUCGUCUGCAGGGACUGCCGUGGGAUCCGGCGGCCAUGACAUGAGAAGAUACCCUGGAAGCUUCAGCAGCCCACUCUGGCCCGGCGGCCACCGUAUGCGGGCGGCUCCCACCCUCUUCUCCGUCCUCUGAACUUGUAGCUACACAGCAGCGUCUCCCCAGCGUCUCCCAAGCGUCUCCGCUCCCAAGUCUUACGGCUCAAGUUCGGCACAAGCAGACCUGCUGAACCUGCCUCAGCCUUGGUAAAUGGGACCCCAGGCACCAUGACUCCAGCUGGAGACGGAGCCACUGCGGUGCCCCCUGCCCCGGGCACCCCAUGCCCUUUCAUCAGUUCUCUUGGUCCCGUCUUUAAGUAUUUUUCAGACUUGUCCACUUCUUUACUACGGGCUGUAGGCUAGUCUGACUGCCCCAACCCUCUGCUGAACUUAGCUGCCGCUUACUGCCCUUGGUUCCAAUGUACAGCCCUCCCGAGCCUGCCGCCCACAGCCUGCCUCACCUUCGCAGAAACGCUCGGGAUGGUGUAACUGCCCGUGCAGAGCCCUGGCUGGCGUCCAUCCUGCACCAGGACCCCGAUGUGCACUCCCUGCGGCAGCCGGGUCCAGGGUCCUCCUCAAAGCCCUCCCUCCUGCUGUGCUUAGCAGGGAGGGGCCGGCCCUGGGACCCUUCUGGUCCUGUACUGGUCCCAAUUCCUCUGCUCCUGCAGCCCAGCUGCUGAACAGCUCCCAGGAGUCGAGACUGUGGGUCCCUCCCAGCAGCUGGUGGAGAACAGCUCAGCCCAGACUCAGCCGUUUUCAAACAGAUUCCCAUUUUCAGACCAGGACAGUAAGGCCACAGGAGGCCCACCUUGGUUUUCAGAAAGGUUGCUCAUCAACUAUGCUGUUGCUUUCUCUUACAACUUGGGAUUCUAUCAGUUUCCAAACUGUGCAUACAAAUAAAUUCAUAAUAGUAGCAAUAAUCAAAAUUUUACCCCCUCCCCUACCUGAUUUUUUUUUUUUUUUUUGAGACAGUGUCUUACUAUGUAUUUCAGGCUGGCCUGAGAGUGAUCCUCCUGCCUUGGCCUCCUGCAUGCUGGGAUUGCAGGCAUGUGCUGCCAGGCCUGGAUUCCCCAUCCGUUUAUGGAGUUUUGACUCUUAUGCAGAGUUCCCUUUGGUACUGCUGGAUUCCCCUGAG
rnacentral:lncRNA from 1 species